GUGUGAGCUGCUUCAUCUGAUUUCUUUCAUCAAGGGAUGGCAGAAAGAGCAUGAAGACCCUGGACUUCAGAUACCUCUGCUGUGAGGAAGGAACAUCCACUGACGACUUGUGGAAAUGCCAUAGAGACAUAAUUUUGAGUGAAUGUCCAUUUGAAGAGCAGCCUUAUGCCACACAUCAGACAAAGGUAAUUUGAAAGUGAAAACACAUUUUAUUUCUACUAUUUUUAAAAGAAUGGAAAUGAAGACCUUGAUAGGAUCCUUUAAGACUUCAUAAAAAGUUUUGUUCUUUGCAGAAAUAUUUCCCGAAAGUCUGCUGCACCCCUAUGGCUUGUCUGCUGCCUCUUACUGAAAUAACUACAAUGCAGUGAAUGAAGUCCUGAACCUGCAGUGCUAAGAACAGUGAGCAGCCGCAGCAAGUGGUCCCUGAGAAUGGACACAGAGGCCAGAUGAGACCGAGUAACUUGCUCAAUAGCUCUUGGUGUUACAUGGUAGAAACAAGACUGGAAACUGAACCUAUCAGACUCACAAGCUCUUGCUUUUAGCUGAUGCCUCUGGUUUGGUAACACUUCAUAAUACGAUACAGAUCAGGCUGUGUUCACUUCUCCAAAAAGCUCUUUCAAAUACAACAACAGCCAAGGCAGAAAGAUCACAAGUUUGAGCUCAAUCUGAGUAACUUAGUGACUUAGCAAGACUCUGUCUCAAGAUUAAAAAAUUUUAAAAUGGCUGGGGAUGUAACUUAGUGUGAAGGCCCUGGGUUUAAUCCCCAGUACUGCAAAAACAAACAAAUAAACCACAACAACAAAACUCUAGCCAACUUUGAGCAAAUUCUUUCAGUUGCUAAAUGUUUCACUAAACAUUGCAGUUAUUAUCUUGAUUGUGCCUCAUAACAGCCCUAAUAAGUAGACACAGUCAUCGUUUUAUGAUGAAGAAAUUGAGACAUUAAAUAAACUGCCCAAAUUAACAAUUACAAGUGACAGAAUCAGGACUUAGACCUACUCUUCUUUAUUUUUUCAGUAUAUUAUGUACUUUCAUUUUUAUAUUGUAGAAACAAUAAUUGUUUUUGGAGGUAGUAGGGAUUGAACUCAGGACCUUGUGCUUGCGAGGCAGGCAUGGUGCCACUGAGCUAAAUCCCCGGCCCUGCAAUAACUUUUAUACUACAAUAAAUAAAUGUCAUAAGUACAAGCUAGUCAGAACAAAUGAAUUAGUAUGAACUUGAAAGAAUUAGAAUUUCUAUACCAAAACAUAAGCACUUCUAUCACACAUUUUUUUGGGUCAAGUAGUAACCUCAAAUACAUACAGGGCAAGUACUGCUACGUCAAAAGUACCACAAACUUCUGAUUUGACGUAGCCACUUAGGAGACAUAAAGAAUACGUAUCAUCUAGUAUGUUGUUGCUAAUAAUAGCUGGUGGGCUAAAUAAACAGGCCAGUCACUCUACCCACUUUCCUGUUUUCAACUUUUAGGAAUUUCGAUUUAUCUAAAAGUUUGACAUAGGCAAUCCCAAUAAUUACUUUCUCUUCUUCCGUGACUGUAGAAUGGCAACUUUAAACAAUUAAAGUUCAAGCUUUUUCUGAAUUUAUCAAAGUGUUUCUGAGCUCUUUUUGAAAAAAGCCUGUUCUGCAUGGGUUACCUUCAUAAGGACUACAAUGCCAACCUCUCUCGAUAUACAAGGACCACUGAGGAAUAAAUCUUUAUUCAUAGAGGUCCUUAGUUAUGGUGCCAACUGGUUGCACUCGCCUAAGCCUCUUUAAAAUACAUUCUAUUAAAUCUGCUAUAGGUAGAACAGUAGGCCAAGAAACAUAACCUUUAUUUUAAUGAUCUCAUAGGCACAACAAUCACUUCUCUGUGCACCUUUCCCCACUACUCAGUACCAUCAUCAGUUCUUAUAACUGAGUUCAGGUCCUUCAGAAGGACUCCGGCAAUGCUAAUGCCACAAAGGCACAUUGGAGUCUCCACACUUUCUAAGGACCACUCCUGACAACUUCCAGUGUGGACAUCAAAUCUCCACCCAAUCAAGAAAUGGAAAUAAGGGCCGGGAUUAGCUCAGUGGUGCCAUUGCCUGCUUCAUAAGCACAAGGUCCAGAGUUCAAUCCCUGGUACCAAAAUAAAUAAAUAAAUAAAUAAAAUGAAAAGAAAUGGAAAUAGGUGGUACUUAGCUCACAGCUGUUUCCAAUACUCAGAUUGAAGGACAUGCAGUAUUCUCUUCAAUAUUUGAUAUGGAUAAUGCC
rnacentral:lncRNA from 1 species